rnacentral:lncRNA from 1 species
AAUUUUGUGUGUGUGUGAUGGAGUCAGGGUUUUGGAACUGUGACCUCUCUUUUUGUGUUUCAGAACUGGUCUCUCCUACUGUGGGUUUUUUUUAAAGAUUGGCACCUGAGCUAACAUCUGUUGCCAAUCUUUUUUUUUUUCCUUCUUCUUCUUCUCCCCAAAGCUCCCCCAGCACAUGGUUGUGUAUUCUAGUUGUGAGUGCCUAUGGUUGUGCUGUGUGGGACGUGCCUCAGCAUGGCUUGAUGAGGGUGCCAUGUCCGCGCACAGGAUCCGAACCAGCGAAACCCUGGGCUGCUGAAGUGGAGCGCGCGAACUUAACUGCUCGGCCACGGGGCUGGCCCCUGUGGCUUUUUCUUUUUACAAAGGUAUUCUUUUACAUUCAGACGUGGAGCACGAACUCUACCAGUGCAUCCAUAUGAUAUAGAAAAAGACUGGCAAAACAUCCUUUAAAAUAUGACUGACAGCAGGAAUAACUGAUGGGAUCCCACCGGCCCCAAGGCUUUGUUGAAUGGAACCGUGAGUGAGAAUGUAAACUCUCGAGCCCAAGGCUUUCCACGGAAUUCCCUUUGGACUGGUUCAUUCUUUUUGCUCAACAUGAGAAAACAGCAGGAGUUAUUGGUUGGACUGCGUGAUGAGCCAGAUUGUCUGGGGGCAAGGCAGGCUGGGUAGGGGAGAGGAAACAACCCUAUGGACUGUGAUAAAGGAAUGUAUGAAGUUUUAUAAAAACAUAGAUAAAUAAU